GUAGGGAAUAUUGGGCAAUGGUCGGAAGACUGACCCAGCCAUGUCGCGUGCAGGAAGACGGCCCUCUGGGUUGUAAACUGCUUUUAUCUGGGAAGAAAAAGGCCAUGCGUGGCAAAUUGCCGGUACCAGAUGAAUAAGCACCGGCUAACUCCGUGCCAGCAGCCGCGGUAAUACGGAGGGUGCGAGCGUUGUCCGGAUUUAUUGGGUUUAAAGGGUGCGUAGGCGGCUGAUUAAGUCAGCGUGGAAAGACUUCGGCUUAACCGGAGCAGUGCCGUUGAUACUGGUUGGCUUGAGUGUCGGAGGGGUACAUGGAAUUGAUGGUGUAGCGGUGAAAUGCAUAGAUACCAUCAGGAACACCGAUAGCGAAGGCAUUGUACUGGCCGACAACUGACGCUGAUGCACGAAAGUGUGGGGAUCGAACAGGAUUAGAAACCCCAGUAGUCC
rnacentral:rRNA from 1 species